rnacentral:rRNA from 1 species
GACGAACGCUGGCGGCGUGCUUAACACAUGCAAGUCGAGCGGUAAGGCCCUUUCGGGGGUACACGAGCGGCGAGCGGGUGAGUAACACGUGGGUGACCUGCCCUUAGCUCUGGGAUAAGCCUGGGAAACUGGGUCUAAUACCGGAUAUGACUCCAUGACGCAUGUUGUGGGGUGGAAAGCCUUGUGCGGCUAGGGAUGGGCCCGCGGCCUAUCAGCUUGUUGGUGGGGUGANGGCCUACCAAGGCGACGACGGGUAGCCGGCCUGAGAGGGCGACCGGCCACACUGGGACUGAGACACGGCCCAGACUCCUACGGGAGGCAGCAGUGGGGAAUCUUGCGCAAUGGGCGAAAGCCUGACGCAGCGACGCCGCGUGGGGAUGACGGCCUGGU